UACGAAGGGGGCUAGCGUUGCUCGGAAUCACUGGGCGUAAAGGGUGCGUAGGCGGGUCUUUAAGUCAGGGGUGAAAUCCUGGAGCUCAACUCCAGAACUGCCUUUGAUACUGAAGAUCUUGAGUUCGGGAGAGGUGAGUGGAACUGCGAGUGUAGAGGUGAAAUUCGUAGAUAUUCGGAAGAACACCAGAGGCGAAGGCAGCGAAUUGGCCCUAUAUUGACGCUCAGGCACGAAAGCAUGGGGAUCAAACAGG
rnacentral:rRNA from 1 species